rnacentral:misc_RNA from 1 species
GAUGAAGAACGUAUCGAAAUGCGAUAAGUAAUGUGAAUUGCAGAAUUCAGUGAAUCAUCGAAUCUUUGAACGCACCUUGCGCUCUUUGGUAUUCCGAAGAGCAUGCCUGUUUGAGUGUCAUGAAAAUAUCAACCUUGACUUGGGUUUUGUGCUCUAGUCUCGGCUUGGAAUUGGGUGCUUGCCGCUUUUACGAGCGGCUCACCUUAAAUGUAUUAGCUGGAUCUGUCUUUGAGACUUGGUUUGACUUGGCGUAAUAAGUAUUUCGCUAAGGACAUUCUUCGGAGUGGCCUCGUUUCUAGGACGCUUGUCCGCUUUCCAAUACAAGUUCCACCUCGUGGACAUGACUUUUUAUUAUCUGGCCUCAAAUCAGGUAGGACUACCCGCUGAACUUAAGCAUAUCAAUAAGCGGAGGA